rnacentral:lncRNA from 1 species
GCGGCGGGGAUGAGGCGGAGAGCGGCGCCGGAGCCGAUUCCAGCUCGGACACGGAGGACGAGGGCUCGGGGGGAGCCGGGGGACGAGGGGACGGCGACGCCGCGGGCACGGAGGGGGACGGUGGUGGUGGCACGGAGAACCCCGCGUCCCCCCGAGGUCAGCAGCGCCGCAUCCUGGUCACCAGCCCCGGGAGGGGACACAAGGUCUUUGUGGUGACGCGCGUGGAGAGCGGAGCGGAGGGCGUCCCCGGUGAGACGCCGGUGUCAGCUGGGGCCGAGGGGACGGACAGCGCCGGGACGGACAGCGCCAGGACGGACAGCGCUGGGACGGAUGGCGCCGCCGGGACCUCCUCCACCAAUGGGAUGGGCAUCGUCACCGGGACGGCCACCAAGGGGUCAGCCACCACCACGGGGACCACCUCCACCAAUGGGACGGGCACUGCCACGGGGACGGCCACCGCCGCUGGGACGGCCACUGAUGGGACGGCCACCACCACCGGCGUGGUCACCACCAGUGACACAGCCACCAGUGGGACUGUCACCACUGGGACGAUGGCCACCAGUGGGACCACCACCACCACCGCCACCACCACUGGGAUGGCCGCUGAUGGGACAGUCGCCAUCAGUGGGACGGCCACCAAUGGGACAGCUGCCACCAGCGGGAUGGCCACCACCCCCGGGAUGGCCACCAGUGGGACUGUCACCAUUGGGGUGAUGGCCACCAAUGGGACAGCCACCGAGGGGACAGCCACCGCCACCAGGGAGGCCCCCAGUGGGAUGGCCACCAGCGGGACAAGCACCACCACUGGGAUGGCCACCAACCCUGGGACAGCCACCAGUGGCAUGGCCACCACUGGGACAACCACCACCAUUGGGACGGCCACCAACCCUGGGACAGUCACCAGCGGGAUGGUCAGCACCAGUGGGACGGCCACCGGUGGAAUGGCCGCCGAUGGGAUGGCCACCAGCACCGGGACGGCCACCACCAGGAUGGGCGCUGGUGGCCCGGCGCUGCCCAACGGGCUGAAGGCGGAGCUGGGCCGGGUGCUGCCCGACGGUGACGGCAAAGCGGGGAGCUGCGGCGCUGAGCACGAGCUGAGCUGCUGCCGGGACGAGCGGGAUCUGGAGGAGCUGCUGCUCGAGGCCAGCCAGGA